rnacentral:tRNA from 1 species
GGAGGAGUGGCAGAGCGGACGAAUGCGGCAGUCUCGAAAACUGUUGUGCUCGCAAGGGCACCGUAGGUUCGAAUCCUACCUCCUCCG